rnacentral:lncRNA from 1 species
UGUAUGUGGAGAAGAUAACUGGGUCGAUUGAUUUGAUGUUAAUUUGUUUGCUUCACUCUGUUUAUUUAUGGCUACGACGGCGGCGGCGGCACACGAGGUAAAUUAAACCCAACCCCCUUCGCGUUCCCGUCCAUUCCAUCGCCCACCUUGUGUUCCUAGCUGACGAACCCCUUUCCUGCUCCCCCCUUUCCGGCGAUUGAAGAUGAGGCGCAGGUGGGCGCCGAGGGGGAGAGCCAGCAGCCGGUGCUGGAGUACGAGGAGAGGAUCCACAAGUUCCCCGGUGUGGUAAAAUUACCGACCUAACUCUGAAUCCUAGUUAAUUUCGCUACUUUCCUAAUCACUCUGCGAACAAGCAGAUCGGCCAGAAACCUUAUGUUUGCUGUCCAAUGUCAAUGGUGGGGCUCGAAACCCUGGAAGCAUGUUGAACCUCAUGAAUAGACCUGAAUAUUUGUUUUAGGUAGAUGCUUGACCAUUAUGCUUUGGAAGAGUGCACGUGAGUCUACCAUUUGAAACUAUAGUUGACCAAUCUAAUUUGGCAUGACCAGUUGUAGCGUCUCGGUGAUAAAAGGUUUAACAAUAUCGAGGGAUUUUGUUCGACCUUUGCAUUUUACUCAGGUUGCAAUUCGUGUAGCACAAAGUAGUAUAUUUAUUGGUCCAUGUGUUUGUAGAUAAUAAUGGAUUUGAAUGUCUGAAUGUCACAUUAUGUCACUAUAAAUG